GACGUAGGGCGCGAGCGUUGUCCGGAUUUAUUGGGCGUAAAGAGCUCGUAGGCGGCUUGUCGCGUCGUGUGUGAAAUCUCAGGGCUCAACUCUGACAUUGCAUACGAUACGGGCAGGCUUGAGUUCGGUAGGGGAGACUGGAAUUCCUGGUGUAGCGGUGAAAUGCGCAGAUAUCAGGAGGAACACCGGUGGCGAAGGCGGGUCUCUGGGCCUGAUAUGACGCUGAGGCGCGAAAGCUAGGGGAGCGAACAGG
rnacentral:rRNA from 1 species